UAAAACUCCUUCACCAACUCAAUAUUGCCUGGUGCUGGAUAUGUAGUCAGUCUCUCCCCAUCUCGCCUCUCAAUCUCCAGUCCAAACUCUGGAGCUAAGUCAGGAAUGUACAUGGCCUUCCUUUCCAUCAGCAAAUGCCUCUCCUAGACGGUAACAUAAUGAUCUUCAUGCUUCUUUGAGAGGAACCUAGAAGAAUAUAAUCUCCUAGGUCUCUCUGCCUCCUUCCUUUUGUUGCCCAUAGUUUUUACUCUUCUUGAGGUAGACAUUCCUGUAUCAAAUCAUCCAAAUAACAUUCACAGAAAUAUCAUUAAAGGUUCAUACAUCAUCAAUUUCAUUCUCAGAUCACACAUAAUCCAAUACUGAAGCAAAAACAGGGCCCCUCAGCA
rnacentral:lncRNA from 1 species